UUCCUACGGGGCGCAGCAGUGGGGAAUAUUGCACAAUGGGGGAAACCCUGAUGCAGCGACGCCGCGUGAGCGAAGAAGUAUCUCGGUAUGUAAAGCUCUAUCAGCAGGGAAGAAAAUGACGGUACCUGACUAAGAAGCCCCGGCUAACUACGUGCCAGCAGCCGCGGUAAUACGUAGGGGGCAAGCGUUAUCCGGAUUUACUGGGUGUAAAGGGAGCGCAGGCGGCGCGGUAAGUCUGAUGUGAAAGCCCGGGGCUCAACCCCGGGAC
rnacentral:rRNA from 1 species